rnacentral:tRNA from 1 species
GGCCCCAUCGUCUAGCCCGGUCUAGGACGGGAGAUUCUCAGUCUUCAAACACCGGUUCAAAUCCGGUUGGGGCUA